rnacentral:rRNA from 1 species
AGUGAACGCUGGCGGUAGGCCUAACACAUGUAAGUCGAACGGCAGCACAGGAGAGCUUGCUCUCUGGGUGGCGAGUGGCGGACGGGUGAGGAAUACAUCGGAAUCUACUUUUUCGUGGGGAUAACGUAGGGAAACUUACGCUAAUACCGCAUACGACCUACGGGUGAAAGCAGGGGAUCUUCGGACCUUGCGCGAUUGAAUGAGCCGAUGUCGGAUUAGCUAGUUGGCGGGGUAAAGGCCCACCAAGGCGACGAUCCGUAGCUGGUCUGAGAGGAUGAUCAGCCACACUGGAACUGAGACACGGUCCAGACUCCUACGGGAGGCAGCAGUGGGGAAUAUUGGACAAUGGGCGCAAGCCUGAUCCAGCCAUACCGCGUGGGUGAAGAAGGCCUUCGGGUUGUAAAGCCCUUUUGUUGGGAAAGAAAUCCAGCUGGUUAAUACCCGGUUGGGAUGACGGUACCCAAAGAAUAAGCACCGGCUAACUUCGUGCCAGCCGCCGCGGUAA